rnacentral:rRNA from 1 species
UACGUAGGGCGCAAGCGUUGUCCGGAAUUAUUGGGCGUAAAGAGCUCGUAGGCGGCUUGUCGCGUCGAUUGUGAAAGCCCGGGGCUUAACUCCGGGUCUGCAGUCGAUACGGGCAGGCUAGAGUGUGGUAGGGGAGAUCGGAAUUCCUGGUGUAGCGGUGAAAUGCGCAGAUAUCAGGAAGAACACCCGUGGCGAAAGCGGCUCUCUGGAACGGUACUGACGCUGAGACGCGAAAGCGUGGGGGAGCGAAACAGG